UUAUCGCGCCCUCUGUGCAUACGGUGCACAC
rnacentral:sRNA from 1 species